rnacentral:rRNA from 1 species
AGUGAACGCUGGCGGUAGGCCUAACACAUGCAAGUCGAACGGCAGCACAGUAAGAGCUUGCUCUUACGGGUGGCGAGUGGCGGACGGGUGAGGAAUACAUCGGAAUCUACUUUUUCGUGGGUGAUAACGUAGGGAAACUUACGCUAAUACCGCAUACGACCUACGGGUGAAAGCAGGGGAUCUUCGGACCUUGCGCGAUUGAAUGAGCCGAUGUCGGAUUAGCUAGUUGGCGGGGUAAAGGCCCACCAAGGCGACGAUCCGUAGCUGGUCUGAGAGGAUGAUCAGCCACACUGGAACUGAGACACGGUCCAGACUCCUACGGGAGGCAGCAGUGGGGAAUAUUGGACAAUGGGCGAAAGCCUGAUCCAGCCAUACCGCGUGGGUGAAGAAGGCCUUCGGGUUGUAAAGCCCUUUUGUUGGGAAAGAAAAGCAGCAGGUUAAUACCCCGAUGUUCUGACGGUACCCAAAGAAUAAGCACCGGCUAACUUCGUG